ACGUAGGGUGCAAGCGUUAAUCGGAAUUGCUGGGCGUAAAGCGUGCGCAGGCGGUUUUGUAAGCCAGAUGUGAAAGCCCCGGGCUCAACCUGGGAAUGGCAUUGAAAACUGGCGGGCUUGAGUCUGGCAGAGGGGGGUGGAAUUCCGCGUGUAGCAGUGAAAUGCGUAGAGAUGCGGAGGAACACCGAUGGCGAAGGCAGCCCCCUGGGCCAAGACUGACGCUCAGGCACGAAAGCGUGGGGAGCAAACAGGA
rnacentral:rRNA from 1 species